rnacentral:rRNA from 1 species
UACGUAGGGCGCAAGCGUUGUCCGGAAUUAUUGGGCGUAAAGAGCUCGUAGGCGGCUUGUCGCGUCGGUUGUGAAAGCCCGGGGCUUAACUCCGGGUCUGCAGUCGAUACGGGCAGGCUAGAGUUCGGUAGGGGAGAUCGGAAUUCCUGGUGUAGCGGUGAAAUGCGCAGAUAUCAGGAGGAACACCGGUGGCGAAGGCGGAUCUCUGGGCCGAUACUGACGCUGAGGAGCGAAAGCGUGGGGAGCGAACAGGAUUAGAUACCCUGGUAGUCCACGCCGUAAACGGUGGGCACUAGGUGUGGGCAGCAUUCCACGUUGUCCGUGCCGUAGCUAACGCAUUAAGUGCCCCGCCUGGGGAGUACGGCCGCAAGGCUAAA